ensembl:lncRNA
UUUGCAUUGGAUAGUUUCCCCUAUAUAAAACAAUAUGGAUUGUUUAAAUAAAUGGGGUUAAGGGAAACUUAUUUCUACUGUAAAGUUUAUUAAAGCUUUAGGAAUGAUGGCUUCGAUCCUUCAAACGCUUACGUGUUUAAUUUAAGCAUGGAAUAAUCUCAUCCUGGCAGUGCUAGCCAAUCCUCACAGCUUUCUCUUCCAGAAAGACAAAGGCAAGGAGGACAUCCAAAGACUGGAAAACAAGCACACUGAGCCGACUUGUACGUGAAUUAAGACCACUGGAGUAAUUAAGAAGAAAACGUGUUACCAGGAGAAGACUCUACAUACACACCAGGAUUCUUUUUGCAAGCGUAUCAUCUUUGCUAGACAUCAGUAAUAACAAACAGUAAUAAUGUAAACAUUUGAAUGGACUGGAGCAAAUCAAGAGGUUGGAGGAGUGAAUAUACUUCUGAGUGACAAAGGAGUCAGGGAACACUGUUAUUUCACUAAGCAGUAGGGGAAAGCCUGAGAUUUCUCCCAGAGGAAUUCAAGUGUACUUCUCCAAGAAUGUAACAUGGCUGGGGCAUCUUUCAAGAAGGUAACAGCCCUGCUGUACUGCCUCUACACCAAUGCGCACAGCAAGGGACACAAGCAGGAGGAAGCCACCAUGCAAUUAGAAAACUAUAAUUUAAUUGCUAUCAUGGAUACACAGAAUCAUUAAGGUUGGAAAAGACCUUUAAGAUCAUCUAGCCAUCCACCUACCACCAUUCUACCCUUUCCUUAAAUGCCUCCAGAGACAACGAUUCCACCACUUCCCUGGACAACCUGUUACAAUGCCAGACCACUCUUUCUAAGAAGAAAUGUUUCCUAAUUCACAACCUGAACCUUCUCUGGCACAACUUGAGGCCAGUGUCUCUAGUUCUAUCAUUACAAAACAAGGGAUGUCAGCCACUCCUCACACCUUGCUCUCUAGAUCCUUCCCCAUCUUUGUAGCCCAAGUUUCUUUCUUGAUUGUUUCCCAAUAUCUAAUACUACACAUAAACCUAAAACAAGGAAAGAUGCGUCAAAAGAAAAACAGUUUAUUUUCAAGAACAAAUCCCUGAAACAGGCCAAAAUUCUAAUUCUCUCUAAAUUCUAGUUCACUCUAAAUUUUCUCUAACACAAUCUAUUGCCUUUGUUUACAAGUUUCUAGAUUGGAACUCUUGCUCUUAUACCUCCACACUUCUACAUAUUUCCAAAACCACACACUUCACUAGUUAUUUAAAGUGUAUUACACAGUCAUAUUUCUAUCUAUUCUUUUUACAUACCUGGGAUUUUAAUCCCAGCUUUGGCAGGUAACAGCCCUGAUGUCUUUCUUAUGGUGAGGAGCACAAAACUGAAUGCAGUACUUGAUGUGCAGUCUCACCAGAGCUGAGCACAGGGGGACGAUCACUUCCCUCCUCCAGCUUGCUACACUAUUUCUGAUGCAGAACAGGGUGCCACUGACCUUCCUGGACACCUGAGCACACUGCCAACUCAUGUCUGUCUUAACAGAUGGACAACAUCCCCAGAUCCUUUUACUCCAAGCAGUUUUCCAGCCACUCUGCCCCAAGCUUGUAGCGUUGCCUGGGGUUGUGAUCAAAGCACAGGACCCAACGUUUAGUCUUGUCGAACCUAAUCCCAUUUGAAUCCAAUCCAGUGUGUCAGAUCCCUCUGAAGGGCCCUCCUACACCCAGGCAGAUCGACACUUCCUCCCAACUUGGUGCCACCUGCAAACAUACUGAGGGUGCACUCAAUGCUUCUCACCAGUAAAGAUAUUAAACAGGACAGGCUCCAAUACUGACCCCUGUGGAACACCACUUGUGACUGGUGGCCAGCUGGAUUUAAUUCCAUUCACCACCACCCUCUCGGCCUGGCCAUCCAGCCAGUUUUUUACCCAGCCAAGAGUGUACCUGUCCAAGCCAUGGCCUGCCAGCUUCUCCAGGAGAAAGCUGCAGGAGACAGUGUCAAAGGCUUUGCUGAAGUCCAGGCAGACUACGUCAAUAGCCUUUCCCUCAUCCACAAACAAGGUCACCUGGUCAUAGAAGGAGAUUGGUCAGGCAGGAUCUGCCUUUCCUGAACCCAUGCUGGCUAGACCAGAUUCCCUGGUUGUCCCACACAUGCUACUUGAUCUCAUUCAAGAUGAUCUGCUCCAUAAAUUUCCCUGCCACCAAGGUCAGGUUGACAGACCUGUAGUCCACUUUAUUCUCCUUAUGACCCUUCUUAUAGAUGGAUCUGCAUUCCUGGGACCUCUCUGGUUGAUUAGGAACACUGAUAGGUGGUGGAGAGUGGCUUGGCAGUCACCUCUGCCAGCUCUCUCAGCACCCUUGAGUGGCUCCAACCACAUAGACCUGUUAUGGUCCAGAUGGAGUAGCAGGUCUCUGUUUCCACCUGAAGCAUGGGAGGUCUGCUCCCCACCCCAGACUUCCAGGUUGUGGUCAUCUUCCUAUGUGGUGGGACAAAUAGCACUAUGGGAAUACUAUGAUUGACAGCUGCAAAUUUUUAGAAGAGAGAAGCAGGGCAGGCAGGGUGGAGAACUUAGUAAGCAGAUAGAUUAUGAAGAGAUGUCUCUAAAAAACUGCCAUGAUCAUGUCAAAAACUUGUGGGUUAAAACCGGGGACUGAACCAAUAAAGAACAUAUGUUGGUUGGGUCUAUAACAGACCGCCUGAAGAAGGGGAGACUGUGGAUGAGGCCUUCUUGGUUUAACUACAGGAAGUGUCAUACUCACAGACUAUCACCUGGAAGGAUUUCAGAUGUCUGCUAGUAAAGCAGACUGCAAGUAAUCCAGGAUGCUCUUGGAGUUCAUUGGCAAUAUGAACUCCAUAUUGGCAAUAUGAACUCCAAUUGGACUUCCUAGUCCAGGUAUUAGACAAACCAACUAAAAGUGAAACAUUACUGGACCUGGUGUUCACCACUGCAAAGGAGAUCAAUAAGAGGUUAAGAUUCUAUGACUGUAUGAAAUUAAUAUUAACAAAAUGUAUGACAGAAUACAAGCAAGGUAAUUUAUUUAGAUGAUCUUUCCUUAAAUCAAUUGAUACAGCUGUGGAAACACAGAAGCCCUUUGGCACACUCAUCCCAGGUUUGGACUAAAAUAUAAAGCCUCAGUUUCAGGCAUUAAUAAGUCUUUGUACCUGGAAAUUUGUCUUUCAUUUCUCUCUCUCUUUUUUUUUUUUUUUUUUUUUAUUUUUAGAUUUUCCAGAAGUUCUGCUUAUAUUGUUCUUUUAAUUUAAUGAAAACCAUAAUUUUUCUAAGUCACAUUUCUUAGUUUAGCAGUUCCCUUCCCAGAGCAUGAGACGUUAUGAUGGAUUCUGGAAGUUAAAAAAAAACAAAAAAAACAAGAAUUCCUGCCCUGUGGUGGAAACUUUUAGAAGUACUGAUUAAGUUAUUAAGUUCAUCAUGUGAAAUAAAGGGUGGAGGAACCUGUCUGGUGUUAUAAAGCUAAUGGAUUGAACUGGCACUCCCUUCAACCAGUAUCAGCUUUUUAUUUCCCCAAGCAAGAUCAUGUAAUUUCCAUAUACUUCAACUCUCUUUUUUUUCACCUGUACAGGUCAGAUAAG